rnacentral:rRNA from 1 species
UGCGAGUCAUUGUAGCAAUACAAGGCAGACGGCUCAGUAACGCGUUGUCAAUCUACCCUAUGGACGGGAAUAACCUCGGGAAACUGAGAAUAAUGCCCGACAGAACAUUAUACCUGGAACGGUUUAUGUUUCAAAUGAUUUAUCGCCGUAGGAUGGGACUGCGGCCUAUCAGUUUGUUGGUGAGGUAAUGGCCCACCAAGACUAUUACAGGUACGGGCUCUGAGAGGAGUAGCCCGGAGAUGGGUACUGAGACACGGACCCAGGCCCUAUGGGGCGCAGCAGGCGAGAAAACUUUGCAAUGUGCGAAAGCACGACAAGGUUAAUCCGAGUGGUUUCUGCUAAAGAAACCUUUUGCUAGUCCUAGAAACACUAGUGAAUAAGGGGUGGGCAAGUUCUGGUGUCAGCCGCCGCGGUAAAACCAGCACCUCAAGUGGUCAGGAUGAUUAUUGGGCCUAAAGCAUCCGUAGCUCGUUUUGUAAGUUUUCGGUUAAAUCCAUACGCUUAACGUAUGGGCUGCCGGGAAUACUGCAUAACUAGGAAGUGGGAGAGGUAGACGGUACUCGGUAGGAAGGGGUAAAAUCCUUUGAUCUAUUGAUGACCACCUGUGGCGAAGGCGGUCUACCAGAACACGUUCGACGGUGAGGGAUGAAAGCUGGGGGAGCAAACCGGAUUAGAUACCCGGGUAGUCCCAGCUGUAAACUAUGCAAACUCAGUGAUGCAUUGGCUUGUGGCCAAUGCAGUGCUGCAGGGAAGCCGUUAAGUUUGCCGCCUGGGAAGUACGUACGCAAGUAUGAAACUUAAAGGAAUUGGCGGGGGAGCACCACAAGGGGUGAAGCCUGCGGU